rnacentral:rRNA from 1 species
GAUGAACGCUGGCGGCGUGCUUAACACAUGCAAGUCGAACGGGAAAUACUUUAUUGAAACUUCGGUCGAUUUAAUCUAUUUCUAGUGGCGGACGGGUGAGUAACGCGUGGGUAACCUGCCUUAUACUGGGGGAUAACAGCCAGAAAUGGCUGCUAAUACCGCAUAAGCGCACGGGGCCGCAUGGUCCUGUGUGAAAAACUCCGGUGGUAUAAGAUGGACCCGCGUUGGAUUAGCUAGUUGGCAGGGCAGCGGCCUACCAAGGCGACGAUCCAUAGCCGGCCUGAGAGGGUGAACGGCCACAUUGGGACUGAGACACGGCCCAGACUCCUACGGGAGGCAGCAGUGGGGAAUAUUGCACAAUGGGGGAAACCCUGAUGCAGCGACGCCGCGUGAAGGAAGAAGUAUCUCGGUAUGUAAACUUCUAUCAGCAGGGAAG